GAUGAACGCUGGCGGCGUGCUUAACACAUGCAAGUCGAACGGUGAAGCCCAGCUUGCUGGGUGGAUCAGUGGCGAACGGGUGAGUAACACGUGAGCAACCUGCCCUGGACUCUGGGAUAAGCGCUGGAAACGGCGUCUAAUACUGGAUAUGAGACGUGGCCGCAUGGUCAACGUUUGGAAAGAUUUUUCGGUCUGGGAUGGGCUCGCGGCCUAUCAGCUUGUUGGUGAGGUAAUGGCUCACCAAGGCGUCGACGGGUAGCCGGCCUGAGAGGGUGACCGGCCAAACUGGGACUGAGACACGGCCCAGGCUCCUACGGGAGGCAGCAGUGGGGAAUAUUGCACAAUGGGCGGAAGCCUGAUGCAGCAACGCCGCGUGAGGGAUGACGGCCUUCGGGUUGUAAACCUCUUUUAGCAAGGAAGAAGCUUUUGUGACGGUACUUGCAGAAAAAGCGCCGGCUAACUACGUGCCAGCCGCCGCCGUAA
rnacentral:rRNA from 1 species